AACUAAAAACAUUUGUCAACAAGCAAUUCCUAAUUCUAUUCUCAUCUCAUCUCAUCUCAUCUAAUCUCAAACUCACAUUAACCCUCUCAAAUCCUCCACCACCCUCACAAACCCUCCUCUCAUCGCCAACCUUGCUGCCGUUCCUGUCGUUGCUGCUGCCAUUUCCGUCGCUGCUGCCGUUCCCGUCGCUGUUGCUGCUGUUCCCGUUGCUGCCAUUGCCGUUCCCGUUGCUGCCAUUGCCGUCGCCCUUGCUGCAGUCGUCGUCGCCCUAGCUGCAGUCGCCUCCACCCUUGCUGCCGUCGUUUUCAGCCGCUGCUCCAGUCUUCUCAGCCGUUGCUGCCGUCUUCUCAGGCUUGCUUGAACUUGCAGAUGGAUAGGAGUGAGGCACCUUCUGAUACGAUAUUCACUUUCUGGUGCAGGACUUCUAACUGUUCAUCAUAAGCUUAGAGAAGCUAAAAUUCACGUGAGAAUGAGAACCCAGAUCUUGAAAUCUGUUUUAAAACACCCAUUUAUGGUAUCUAUUACUGUAAGAUCUAAAACAACCUCAGGUCAGUAUGUAGCAUCAAGAUCUAGAGAUCCUACAUUUGAAAAACUAAUGGAAAAGUAUAAAAACCUUGUCAAAGUCAUUGCCAUUCAAGACCUCAUUCUCGCAAAUCCCACCAACAGCCCUCCAUCAGUAUCUGUUGAUUUCCUCUCUAGACUCUCCCAGAAGCUUCACCUCAACCGUGGUGCAGCCUCUUUCCUCCGCAGAUACCCUCACAUUUUCAACAUCUUCUAUAACUCCACCUUGUCUCAACCCUUUUGCAGAUUAACUGACAUUGCUCUCCAAAUUUCCUGUCAAGAAGCAGAGAGUAUAAAAGCUUGCUUGCCAGUUGUUGUUGAUCACUUGGUUCGGCUUUUAUCAAUGUCCACAUCCAAAUCUUUGCCACUUCGUGCCAUCUUCAAGGUUUGGAGGGAGUUAGGGCUUCCUGAUGAUUUUGAGGACUCUCUGAUAUCCCAAAAUCCGCAUCUAUUUAGACUGUGUGAUGCCCAUGAGCCCAAUACACAUAUUUUGAAACUAGUGGAGGAAAUUCCUGACAACCAUUUCUCGGCAGCAGUUGAUAUUUGGCGGGUCACUGAGUGCUGUAAGGAGGAUUGCAGUGUUGAUAGAACAGAAAUUCAAUUCAGUUUCAAACAUCAGUAUCCUCCUGGAAUGAGGGUGAGCAAGAAUUUCAGGGCUAAGGUCAAGGAAUGGCAGAGAUUGCCAUACAUAGGGCCCUAUGAGAAGAUGGGAGAGAAUAAGAGGUCUAAAGCAGGAAUGAUGGGAUUGGAGAAGCGAUCAGUGGCAAUUGUGCAUGAAUUCUUGAGUUUGACAGUGGAGAAGAUGGUGGAAGUGGAGAAGAUCAGCCAUUUUAGGAAAAGUUUUGGAAUUGAUUUAAACAUAAGAGACAUGUUCUUGGAUCAUCCAGGCAUAUUUUAUUUGUCUACAAAGGGGAAGAGACAUACAGUUUUUCUCAGGGAAGCAUAUGAGAGGGGUCGCUUAAUUGAUCCUAAUCCGGUAUAUGAUGUUAGGAGAAAACUUCUUGAUCUUGUCAUUCUGGGUCGCCGUAGUCUGCUUGUUAAUAAAUCAAAUCCUGGUGAAACUAGACAGGGUGAAGAGUGUGGAUUACAAAAUGAGAUUAAUGACUGACGUAAUGAAUUGUCAUCUGUUACUUCUCUACCAAUAAUCACUGACUUGUUUCAUUUGCAUGGAUUGCACAUAUCACUUGGGUUGCAUGGCUAUGCUUGUCUUGAUUAGGCUUUUAUGAUGAAGAGAUAAGAAUCUGACAGGACAAAAAUGGCCUGAAUUAGAAGCAGUGCACAUCUCUGGAAUCUAACAUUUCUGGCCCCAAUGCUUCUGUUACUGCUACACCAAUAGCUGACAAAGUUGAGGGACUCCUCGACUACAGAGGUCUCCAGUGCACUAGACAAUCUCAUGUGGAUGGAAAUCAGUUAUCAUUACAGCGGAGCGUUGCAGCCACACGCUUUCUCUAGCGGCGGUGGAGCAGGAAGCUUGUUUCUCUGCAGCUUCUUUCUGACUAGGGAAGUUCUUAGUUAUUGGGCCAUCGUGGGCAAGUUUCAAAUGCAUGUAGGCCAUGUACCGUUUAAUUGCAGUCUUUUCUGAACUCCUAUUUUUCAUCUCUUGUAAUGUUUGGGUCCUAACCCUUUUUCAAUGAAAUUCUUCUUUUGAUAAAAAAAAAAAAAAAAAAAAGAGAACAAGUGCUUGUUCUUAGAGGCUGUUUCCACUGAUUAUCAUGUAUGUUCAUUUCUUCAUAUAUAAGUAUUGUUGUUGCAAUAA